AUUGAACGCUGGCGGCAGGCCUAACACAUGCAAGUCGAGCGGCAGCGGGAAAGUAGCUUGCUACUUUUGCCGGCGAGCGGCGGACGGGUGAGUAAUGCCUGGGAAAUUGCCCAGUCGAGGGGGAUAACAGUUGGAAACGACUGCUAAUACCGCAUACGCCCUACGGGGGAAAGCAGGGGACCUUCGGGCCUUGCGCGAUUGGAUAUGCCCAGGUGGGAUUAGCUAGUUGGUGAGGUAAUGGCUCACCAAGGCGACGAUCCCUAGCUGGUCUGGGAGGAUGAUCAGCCACACUGGAACUGAGACACGGUUCAGACUCCUACGGGAGGCAGCAGUGGGGAAUAUUGCACAAUGGGGGAAACCCUGAUGCAGCCAUGCCGCGUGUGUGAAGAAGGCCUUCGGGUUGUAAAGCACUUUCAGCGAGGAGGAAAGGUUGAUGCCUAAUACGCAUCAACUGUGACGUUACUCGCAGAAGAAGCACCGGCUAACUCCGUGCCAGCAGCCGCCGUAACAC
rnacentral:rRNA from 1 species